rnacentral:rRNA from 1 species
ACCGGCGGCUCGAGUGGUGGCCACUAUUACUGGGCUUAAAGCGUUCGUAGCUGGGUUGUUAAGUCUCUUGGGAAAUCCACCGGCUUAACCGGUAGGCGACUCAGGGAUACUGGCAGACUAGGGACCGGGAGAGGUGAGGGGUACUCCAGGGGUAGGAGUGAAAUCCUGUAAUCCUUGGGGGACCACCGGUGGCGAAGGCGUCUCACCAGAACGGCUCCGACAGUGAGGGACGAAAGCUGGGGGAGCAAACCG